GUAAAUUCAGAAAUAUAAAAAGUUGUCUUGGUCUAGUGGUAAAAGAGAGAAAAGUCUCAUGCACCAAGUGUCGUUAGCUCAAUUAGUAAAGAUUCUAGGUAAAGUUUAUAGGUUGCCGGUUCGAGUGACGCUUGGGACAAAACUAAUAUUACAUGCUGUGGUUUCGGGCCUGGGAAAAUUACGGGCUUCGGCCCAGAACCUCCUGAUAUUUAAAAAAAAA
rnacentral:sRNA from 1 species